rnacentral:rRNA from 1 species
UUAGUGGCGAACGGGUGAGUAACACGUGGGCAAUCUGCCCUGCACUCUGGGACAAGCCCUGGAAACGGGGUCUAAUACCGGAUAUGACACGGGAUCGCAUGAUCUUCGUGUGGAAAGCUCCGGCGGUGCAGGAUGAGCCCGCGGCCUAUCAGCUUGUUGGUGAGGUAGUGGCUCACCAAGGCGACGACGGGUAGCCGGCCUGAGAGGGCGACCGGCCACACUGGGACUGAGACACGGCCCAGACUCCUACGGGAGGCAGCAGUGGGGAAUAUUGCACAAUGGGCGAAAGCCUGAUGCAGCGACGCCGCGUGAGGGAUGACGGCCUUCGGGUUGUAAACCUCUUUCAGCAGGGAAGAAGCGAAAGUGACGGUACC